UACAGAGGGUGCGAGCGUUAAUCGGAAUUACUGGGCGUAAAGCGCGCGUAGGCGGCUUGUUAAGUCAAAUGUGAAAUCCCCGAGCUUAACUUGGGCAUUGCAUUCGAUACUGGCAAGCUAGAGUAUGGGAGAGGAAGGUAGAAUUCCAGGUGUAGCGGUGAAAUGCGUAGAGAUCUGGAGGAAUACCGAUGGCGAAGGCAGGUCUCUGGGCCGAUACUGACGCUGAGGAGCGAAAGCGUGGGGAGCGAACAGG
rnacentral:rRNA from 1 species